CAACACUAAUUAAUGGUCAGCACCUGAGCUCAUAAUGCCUGGAGGUCUUAAUCACCUUUCCAGAGGCUAGUGGAGUGGAUCCUGAAAUAACACUCUGUGCCUCUGCCCUUGGCCUAGCCUGGUCCGGUCCUGAAUCUGCUCCAUGGGAACCCCUGCGUGGGUGAAGGGACUGCUGUGAUGUGGGGCUUGCUUUCUGCUGACGUGCACCUCUGGAGGAUCCCCUUCUCAGCCUAGGCAGAGAGUGCACUUGCCGAACUGGUGUUUGUUCACUGUUGGUUGUGCUUCUCAGAAUCAGUCCCUGUACGUUUUCUACUGCACACUGUCUGUAUCUUGCUCUGAAGGGCAGGAAGGCCGUCCUGGCUAGAGUACUCCCUGAUGUGAUGCUGAGUUUCUCCAGCCACAGCUGCUGCCUGUACCUUCCUGCAUGCUCCCAGCGCACACUUUUUUGCAGAGGAAGUGUCUUUGCUCAGCAACUGCCUCCUGGUUGUCCUUGCAUCUUUCUUGGUAAAGAAGCUGCUACAACAACAGUGCAUGAGGCAGGAUGAGCUUAAUUUAAAAAUAAUAGAAUAAAUUAUUCUAGAAUAGAAUUAAGCUAAGAAUUGUUUCAGGGCCUGUCAAAACUUAGGCAAGGAGGCUUCAUUUUUAAGGAUAUAAAUGUGUUUUCUAGACUAAAUGUACUAUAUGCUGCUUUAGUGACAGCUUUCUUCUUCUGGCAAGGAGACGAAGGGAGAUAAUUUGUUAUCAAGUGCACUGUAUGCCAUGUAACUCUAGGAGCAAAGAAUGAUCAGGAAUGGCUGGAAUUAUAAAUGAGUAGUCUUGAGGAUUUCUUGAUAUUGAAGAUAGCAUUCAUACAGUUAGGGUGUUCACCCCCCAGUUAUGUUGGGUUUCUAACCUGUAUAUAAGUCAGCAUUUGUUUCCCUAUGAGAACAGGUGGAAAACAAUGGUUGUGCUUUGUUUGGUUUUGUUUUUCUGUUACAAGACUUCUGAAAGCUUAGAGCUUGGAGAAAACAUGCUAAUCAGGGCUGAGUCUGGUUAGAUACAGAUGUGUGCUACGUUCCUAUCUGGGAGACGGCCACAUAUAUUAAUAAAUUAAUAAAACCUCUUCUGUUAAAACAAUAUGAAUAGAAUGAUGAUCAAUAUUCUGCACCUGCUGUAAGCUAGAGAAUUUAUACACCUUAGCAUGAAGCAAUGUUGAAAUGUCUGAAUUUGUGCAUGUGGUCAUGUCCUGUCAACAGCAGUGAUCUGAUGGUGCUGGUUAGUCCAAAGCACGCUUCUAUUUUGGAGUUGUCUGUUAGCUGUAAUUAUCACCGUUACUGAUCAUAACCUUCUUACCCUGUGGUAAUGCCUCAGGAAAUUUUGUGCAGGAUUUGCUGCAAUGAUAAUUAUGCUUCCCUAGGAUAAGCUUAUCUUCUGCAUGGCGGUGGUAUUGGGCAUUGUGUUCUUGUAUGUGAAAGU